GAUGAAGAACGUAGCGAAAUGCGAUAAGUAAUGUGAAUUGCAGAAUUCAGUGAAUCAUCGAAUCUUUGAACGCACAUUGCGCCCGCCAGUAUUCUGGCGGGCAUGCCUGUCCGAGCGUCAUUUCAACCAUCAAGCCCCGGGCUUGUGUUGGGGACCUGCGUCCGACGCAGGCCCUGAAAACCAGUGGCGGGCUCGCUGUCCACACCGAGCGUAGUAACUAACCUCGCUAUGGAGUGGCGCGGGCGCCUGCCGUAAAACCCCCAAUUUCACAAGGUUGACCUCGAUCAGGUAGGAAUACCCGCUGAACUUAAGCAUAUCAAUAAGCGGAGGA
rnacentral:misc_RNA from 1 species